CAGGAAACCAGUAGGAGGCUAUCGCAGUCAUCCAGCUGAGGAAAGAUGACUUGACACGACUUCAGAAGCCUCCUGAAUCCUAUUCUGGCCCAUCGUGGCAUGGUCAGCAGAUGAGAAACAGAUGGACUGGUGUGUGGUGGGAGGAAGCUGUCCUGGUCGAGCUCUGCUUCAGGCCAGUCCUUUCUGAGAUUGGAGAAGUGAGAAGAGGAGCAGAGAGACCAGCUGGGAGCUGCUGUAGUAACCCAGGUGAGGGAGAUGGUGGUCUGGACCAGUGCUUCGCAUGGAGGUGGACAGAAGUGAUAUAACUGAUUUAAGUCAACCAGCUGCUUGAUCCAAAUAAUGCCAAAUGAGUUUAUUGCCAUCUCUUCAUAUUUUACAACCAGAUCACUUCUGCAUAAAACCACAUGGAA
rnacentral:lncRNA from 1 species